UAUACAUGUAUUAUUAAGGCAACUUUGCAUGGUUAAAUUGUAUACAGGACAUGACAAGGGUAUUUAAUUAUAUACUCGUGAGACUAUUUUAAUCAUAAGAUUUAUUUUAUGGUUCAAAUCAAGCGUGCAUUCUAAAACAGUGUAUAUCAACUUGUGGAGUUUUAACAACGCAGUCAGGCAGAAGUUUAUUUGAACAUACUAUUACACAUGACAGUUGAGAUUUAAUAUGAGUGAUGAUGAAGUCUUAGAUACUGACAAGGUUUUGUCUUGGAGAAAACACAGAUUGCCAAAAGCCAGACCAAAUUUAAAGUUAAGUCCUCUUUUGCCCAUGAGAAAGUCUAGAAACGAGGAGACCACCUCAAAAGAAGCUGAACGUGAUAGUCAAAGAUCCUUAGACCUAGAUAGGCGUGGAACCGAUAGUCCUCGCUUAGGACUACGGGCAUCUAAUAACAAUUAUACAUGUAAAUGUUUAAACAGAAAUGGACAUGCAACAUCUUCCUUGUUGUCUUUGGGUUAUUUGGCAUGUCAACAUUGCGGAAAAGAUGUUGUAGAUGGGGGGCAUAAUGCUUGGAGUGGGGAUCCAAUAUCCAGUAUGUGUGGUACAUAUAAACAGGACCACACAAUGUCGCCUAGAAAACCUAAUAAAUCAGACACUCCAAUGGAUGUUCAGGUUUUUGAUUUUGAUAAUAAAAUGAUAACCCCCAGGGCAAACAUACCAUCCCGUCCAUCAGACAUAGAUGUAAAAGCCCGUCUGCCAAACAUAAGCAAAACAGAAAUAAACUAUAGAUCUCCUAGAACUCCUAGAAAGACGCAGAAUCCGAUAACAACUUCAAUACCCGUGAAGCUCCCGCCAAUCAAACAAGCAAGUCAGUCAGAACCUACCAUAGAAGAGGGUCAAGAGGAACCAACUACAUCAGAUACGCCAUCUUUUAAGAUUGAUAUACCUUCAGGUAGCAGGUCAUUUGAUGGAGAGUAUUACGACCAAGAGAAAAGCGCAAAGGUGGCAUAUAAGAUUAGUCAAGCGUUUGGCAAUCCAGUAACCACCUGGGAUGCGACCCAAGAAAACACAAGACAAGACAGCAUCGAACCAACAAGUUAAUUCUCCAGCUAUUCACACUAAAUGGGAAAAGUAAAAUAAUGGAGUUUGGCCAACAAAUCAAAUGUUUAAUUUCUCAUAGACUUUAUGAUUUAUUUAUAUGUGUGAUUUAUUUUGGCCCAUUUACUGAAUAAUAAAUUACGCAAUAUACUAUAUAGAAAGCAACCAUGUCAAUUUUAUUCGUUAUAGCCAGUACUGGA